rnacentral:rRNA from 1 species
CCUACGUGUGGCUGCAGUGGGGAAUCUUGGACAAUGGGCGAAAGCCUGAUCCAGCCAUGCCGCGUGUGUGAAGAAGGCCUUCGGGUUGUAAAGCACUUUCAGUGGGGAAGAAAGCCUUGGGGCUAAUACCCUCGAGGAAGGACAUCACCCACAGAAGAAGCACCGGCUAACUCCGUGCCAGCAGCCGCGGUAAUACGGAGGGUGCGAGCGUUAAUCGGAAUUACUGGGCGUAAAGCGCGCGUAGGCGGUCUGAUAAGCCGGUUGUGAAAGCCCCGGGCUCAACCUGGGAACGGCAUCCGGAACUGUCAGGCUAGAGGGCAGGAGAGGAAGGUAGAAUUCCCGGUGGAGCGGUGAAAUGCGUAGAGAUCGGGAGGAAUACCAGUGGCGAAGGCGGCCUUCUGGACUGACACUGACGCUGAGGUGCGAAAGCGUGGGUAGCAAACAGGAUUAGAUACCCCUGUAGUC